UCAGACGAUGCGUCAUGCAUAUCAAUAAGCGGAGGAAAAGAAACUAACAAGGAUUCCCCUAGUAACGGCGAGUGAAGCGGGAAGAGCUCAAAUUUGAAAUCUUAAAGGGUUUCCCUUACGAAUUGUAGUUUAAAGAAGUGUUUUCUGUUGAGGUUUUGGUAAAAGUUCUUUGGAAUAGGACAUCAUAGAGGGUGAGAAUCCCGUAUUUGACCUUUACUUUCAACUUUGUGAUACACUUUCAAAGAGUCGGAUUGUUUGGGAAUGCAGUCCAAAAUGGGUGGUAAAUUUCAUCUAAAGCUAAAUAUUGGCGAGAGACCGAUAGCGAACAAGUACCGUGAGGGAAAGAUGAAAAGAACUUUGAAAAGAGAGUUAAACAGUACGUGAAAUUGUCAAAAGGGAAGCGUUUGACACCAGUGUUGUUUUUCUGAAAAUCAAUUAAAGAACUGUUUAUGCUAAGUUGUUUAGACUUUAUCAUGCUAAUCUGUUUAGUUUUGAGCUUUUCUUUAAUGCACUUUUCAGGUUAACAAGUCAACAUCAAUUUCUUUUGCUGUAAAAAAGCUUGAGGAAGGUGGCUUGAGAUUCGUCUUAAGUGUUUAUAGCCUCUUGCCUAUGCAGUCGGAGAGAUUGAGGUCUGCAGCGUAGAUCCUUCGGGGCUAAAUGCAUUCGUGCUAAGUUAUAGCAUUUUAUAGACAACUUGUUGACUAUGAUUUGUCUUGUAGCUUACUCGCUUAUGUUAUUUUACCUACGCUUAGGAUGUUGAAUCUGUGCGAGACUAC
rnacentral:rRNA from 1 species